UGGAGACCAAUGCAGGUGGAUGGGAGUGGAGUAAUAGCGAUGUGCUGGAUUACACUGCCUGGGAGAAACACCCCGCCAGCAUUUCAAAACCUGACUAUUGUGGGACCUUGUCAGGAAGCUCAGGAUAUCUGUCAUGGAAAGAUUAUGACUGUAAAAAGGAGUUACCCUAUAUCUGCAAGUUCAAGGGUUAGGUCAGGUGAAAACCAAUGACCUGAGUUUCAUAAAUAGCUCGUCAUGGAUAUGGGACCAAGUGAGAAGAUUCAUCCAGGAAGAUAAUAUUCUUCCCAUACUUCAAACCUGACCACCUCAUUCUGACCUUCCAUCCUCCCCACCCUCUUUUCAGGCUUUGUACAGAAUUAUGUAACAUGAAUUUUGAAAGCGCAAUAAUAAAAAUUUAGUCUGUUA